UACAGAGGUCCCAAGCGUUGUUCGGAUUCACUGGGCGUAAAGGGUGCGUAGGUGGCAUGUUAAGUUUGAUGUGAAAGCUCAGGGCUCAACCCUGAAAUGGCAUUGAAUACUAGCGUGCUGGAGGUUUGGAGGGGGGGGACUGGAAUUCUUGGUGUAGCAGUGAAAUGCGUAGAUAUCAAGAGGAACACCAGUGGCGAAGGCGAGUCCCUGGACAACACCUGACACUGAGGCACGAAAGCCGGGGGAGCAAACAGG
rnacentral:rRNA from 1 species